rnacentral:rRNA from 1 species
GACGAACGCUAGCGGCGUGCUUAACACAUGCAAGUCGAACGGACAGGCCCUGCUUUUGCUGGUUUCUCGAGUGGCGAACGCGUGAGUAUCACGUGUGUAUCCUGCCCCUGUCUUUCUGAUAACUUCUGGAAACUCCGGCUCUUAUCGCAUAUGAUCUCCUGCUCCAUGGUGUUCGUUGGAAAGUUUCGGCGGUUGUGGAUGGUCUCGCUGCUUAUCCGCUUGUUUGUGGGGUAGUGGCUUACCAAGGCUUUGACGGAUAGCCUGCCUGAGAGGGCGACCGGGGACAUGGGGACUGAGAGACGGCCCAGAAGCCUACGGGAGGCAGCAGUGGGGAGUAUGGCAGAAUGGGCGGAAGCGUGAGACAGAAACGCUGCGAGCGGAAUAACGGCCUACGGGUGGUAAACAGAUGUGGCAGGAGACGAAGAGUGAGUGACGGUAAUGGGUAAAGAAGCACCGGCUAACUACGUG